rnacentral:sRNA from 1 species
UGAAAUAUAAGUAAAGAAAUAUAUCUAAUAAAAAAAAAUCCAGAUGAAAAGCCUAUAUGUUCUGGCCUCCAGGUCUGGAUUGAAGUUCAUUCCAGAUGUAGACAAGUUAACAUCUGGGAAUAGCUGGCAUAGUUAUGUCAUGCCCUGCUAUGUUAUGUUAUUAUCUAUUAGAAGCCUGCUUAUUUUGUAGUGAGAGACAGAAAAGGGGGUGGAUCUAAAUGGGAGGGGAGGUUGGGAGGAACUAGGAGAAGCAGAGGAAGGGGAAAUUGUAAUUAGAAUAUGUGAGGAGGGGGAAAAGCUAAUUUCAAUAGGAAAAAAAAUGAAAUUUUCCCAUCGAUCUCACAAAUAAAGGUGACUGUAAUGAAUGUGUAGUUAGAUUUCCCCCUUUUUUCAUUAUUCUGUUUUAUCUUCCCAUAUCAGUCUAUCAACAGCUUCCUCAUUCUUUCUUUUAUGGCUACCCAGUACUUUACCAGGUGUAACUCCAUAGGUUAUACAGCCGUUCUAUAUACAGUUGGACACGUGAGCUCUUCCCCAGACACACUGUCACAAAUAUAGCUAUGAGCAAUACACUUUGUGUAAGUGUCACUUCACACAGGUACAGCUAGAGCUGCUGUCUAUAUUCCCAGAACCGAGGGGGAACUGACUACCACGAAAGCACUAAGAUGGCCCAACCCUGCUUUGCCUCCAGGAACGGACAAGCUUGGAUGUGUUCAGGGUAGUAUGGCUGCAGACUAGGGUUGCACUGUCUGAUGCAGUUAUAAUCAUACAAACAUUCAUUUUGUAACAGUCCAUUGCCCAGUAAUAUAAAAAAUUAUAUUACUUUUGUUCCCUGUGUCUCCUUACUAGCUGUUCAUUAAGAAAACAUGAAAUUAACUAUUCCAGAGAGGUUUGAUAAGUAUUCAAUUCUCUAGGCUUUCUUUGAACAUGAAGUUCACUGUACAUUUUGAGGGGAGCAGAGUCAUAGAGGAGAACCAAAUAUAUUUUACUCUAACUUCUACAGAAGAGACAGUUGUUAGAUAGUGCCUGUUCAUAUUAGGAAAAAGAAAAUGAAAUGUGAGGAGUAUAAAUGGCUUCCUGAUUGCUUGUGGCUGGUUUUUCUGAAAAAUGACAAAAAAGGCUUCAACACAUGGGAUAUAGCCUGCCAGGUCUCAGUGUUGCUGGUAGCUGUCCUGUCACUCGCAGGUGGCCUGUCACUCACAGGUGGCCUGUCACAGUUACACCCUGCUGUUUUCCUGCUGAGCAUAAAAAAUUACAGAGAACAUUAAUCAGAGGAGGACACUGGACUAAAACAAGAGCAUUCUAAUGCAGUGUGAACUCAGAUAAAAACCACAAACUGUCUAGCCACAAAGUCACCAUAGCCAUAAGUGCUGCUCUCAGAAACAUCACUUGUGGCCAGUCUUUCCUUGCUUCUGGUAAGAUUUUCUCAGAUAGCAAAUCAUGGAAACUAACCUAGAGCAAAGUUCUGUCUCCCUAAAUCCCUCAAGUGAAGGUGAUGCUUUAUUCAUUUGUGUAUUUUUGGUAUUUUAUAAGUAGGUGUGAAUACACAUGCCCUUUCAGCCAGCGCUCUGCCACUGGGCCGCACACACUCCCUCACUGAGGUGCUAGAACCCCCAGUGUGUACUCUUCUACUGUAGAGUCCACUAAAAUUGUUAAGCUUUAGUGUGCUUUAGUGGCUCACAGGGCACUGGACCCAAGAGCUUCCUGAGCAUCCACAGGCUGUACUACUAAUCCUGAUUUUCAGCAAUAUCAUUUCUGGCUGGGACUGGUUUUUGAAUUCAAGCUAUUAGUCUUAUGCCUAAGGGAUGUAGAUGAAGGCAGCUACUGUAUCAUACCCAGGACUAUGCCUCCUAAGGCAGCCACCAGGGUUGUUUCUAGCACAUUGCAAAUUCUCAGCUUAUCCACAUCAUUUCUGAGCUACUUUCCAGUCCUUUUUCUAUGCACUGACAAAGACAUUUUGAUUAUAUUAUUAUUUUAUAUACUCUCAUAGGGAAGUCGCCGUGCAGGGUGACACCUAUUGAAGAAAGCAUCCACUGCGACAAGAGCUGAGACUGUUGGACUUUCUUUGCAAAAUGGCAAGGAAAUCGAGGUGAAUGGCCACUUUGACUUGCUCUGCGCUCCUUCUGAGACGUAAGAAAGGCAAACUGUGAAAGUGCAGGGCAAUACAGCUUUUAGGGAGAAAGCAAUCUUAGUAACUUGUUUCCUUCUGGAAAGAAAGACAACACACGCCUGGUGACCAUCUGAAUGGCUCACUUUAAUUCUCAAGGGGAGUAAGAGAAGGCCGACUUACUGCAUCACAAUGAGAACAUAACUGGAACAUUAUCUGCCUGAUGGAGACAGCGGAUUCCCACAAGCCACUGGGAAGGUGAAUCUGGGUAGAAGGGUAAACAGAGGCAAGACUAUACAUUCAUAUAGGUUCAGAGCACCUCUUGAGGGGACCCAAUGCUUCACAGUGUCCUUGGAAGUCCGGUAUUACUGCAGCAUCUCUGAUACGUGUUGAUGGCUGUAACAGAGAUAAACUCACAAACCAGGAGAGCAUCCCUUUAGCUACAUCAUCGUUCCUGAGGGGAGACACCUGCGGGGGCUUGAGGAGUGCUCCAACCUUGCCCUGGUUAUUUAUGGAGACAGAUUUGGGUAUGCCAUGAUGCUAUUACAUGUCAUGGAUUUCUUGCUGAAAUGUAGACCACGUGUCCCCCAAACCCCUCCAGUCAUGCUAAGGAAGGACAAAGAACCAUAAGCAUGGGUGUGUCCCUUGGAAGCUGUAACAGACAGCGGUGGGUGAAGGAAAAUGAGGACGUGACACCUCCAGGGUUCAGACAAGGAGACUGUUUGUAUUGUAGAUAUGAGGGAGAGGCCAGCCAGAAACAUUUUUGAAGCAGGCCAUGAGAGGAGAGAGAUGGGGGAGAGCAAGAAAGAGAAGAGCGCCAAGAGCGCCAAGAGGGCAGGAAUGCGCCAAGAGCAGAGCCACAUAGCCAGUGUCAGGUUUAUAUAGGAAGGUGAAGCUGGGGGAAGGGGAGUGAAUCCCCUAGGAUGCAGGGGUUUAUAUUAGGGGGUGGGUGAGACAAGCUGGGAAGAGACAAUGUCCUGAGUGAGCCUAGAGGCCAAGCAUGUGCUGUGGUACGCUAACAGGCACUACCCUUAGCCAUCUGUCCCAGUUUGAUAUAUCCUUGUCUACCAGCACCGUUCUUUCUCCUCUCAGCCAGGAAGGCAAUCUGGGAUGCUCAGGCAAAGAGACCUUUUUAAAAAUCUAACUCCACUUCUUCUAGUACUGUCGAAUUUUCAGUGAAUGAUCAAUGGUCAGAGUGGCGCAUUAUGAAGUAGCCAGUGUGGGUCAAGACCAGCCUCAUACUCUGAAUGAGCUCUGGGUUGGUACCUUCCAUAGGGGGUGGUCUCUAGAGAAGGCAGAAAGCUCAGAGUCAUACAGUUGUUGGUGAUAAAUACAGAAGUGUUUUUAUGUUUUGCCAAUGCUAAAGAAAGACCAGGCUUCCUCAGAGGGAAAUCUUGAGUUGUUCUUCCUGUGAGGAAAGCUGUGGCUGCCGGCCUCAGGACCUCUACAAAUCAAGACCCUACAGGUCUAAAGCUGCUGAAAAUACAGAUAAGCAAACUGAAGUUACCAGCCAUGGACUAAUGCGCCCAAACACUGUCCCUAGACAUGUUCUAGCCAGCUCAAGCUGACUGCCUUUAAAGGAAUUCCGUAGAUAGUUCUAUUGUUUGUUUCCCUAGAAAGGUCAACCAUCACAAUUAUUUCCUGGUUUGGGGCUGUUAGCAAAGUUUGUGUAACAGCAGCAGUGUCCCUAGGUCAGGGCCCCUGACUCCCAGUUUCUAUUUCUAUUCUAGUCUAGAAUUCUGUUCACUUGGUAGGCACACAGCAUAAUAAUUCAGGACCAGGACGUACCAGUUGACUCAACUCAGGGAAGUAGCAUGGCAGUUGGCCCUGUCUCAGUGGCUUGCCUGGGAGCCCUAGAGAAGAUGAGAGGGCAAACUGCACAGUUACAUUCUCAUGGGGCAUGCUCACAUCUUUUCUGUCAGACAUGCAGGGUACAAACACAUCCUAACUUCCUUCAACAUUAGCAACACUCCGACAUAAUACUAAUACACUCAGUUUCUUACGUCAUCAGGGACAUCAUCCGGGAAAACUGAGGGAAAAGUAAAACGAAUGGAAAAUUUAAACAACCUGUUCCACAGGAGGAAAACUUAAGUUGAUUUGGAAGGCUUACUUAAGUUCAAAGGUCCUUAGAGACCAAAUGGAGGGAAAUGUGUCGUAUCCUAUCCCUCUUUCCAGCUCUCUGUGCUUAAGUCCCUUGUUUAUAUUAUGUCAACUGUGUAGGGAACAGGGACAGGAUAUCACUGAAUUAUAGUUGUCUUCAGUUUAUUUAGCUGAAUUCUUGGACUGGUUCUUUUUACGUAAUGGGGUUUUCCUAACCUCAACCUAGUUUACUUUCCAGAAUAUAACAGACUCCAGGAAGUAACGCUCCAUCCCCAGAUGCCCGACCCUGUUCCUCUGGAUCCCACCUCGUCCAUCCUUCCUUCUGACUAGUGUCAUCCAUCUUUUACCUUCGUGACCUCUCUCUGCCUCAAGCUCCCUCAGCUAUUGGUUCUUCCCAGAUUCAUACAAUUCUAAGCCGAUCUGGUCACCCUCACCUUGAUUCUGACCACAUGUGCCUGUCCCAGUCUCCUGCCCAAACAGGCCACCACCAUUAACUUCUCCCCCAGGGAAGCUGUAGUUGGGUUGCUUUUCCAUGCAUGACAGACUCUUUCUUGGACAUCCCAUAGUCACUGGUCAUAUGUAGCUCCCUUCCUAGUCAUCACAGUGCUGUGGGGACCUCUCUCCAUCACCCCAAGGUCUCAGCCUCUCCUACCUGCACCCAACGUAGAUAGCAUAUUCUCCACUGUGUAAAUAAGAGUCCCCCUGCACCUCUUUAGAUGAUUUAUCUGCAUAUCUAGUUGAUCUAGUUCUCCACAAUUCCUCUUCUACCCAUUGUCACCCUCCUCUCUGCACCUUACCAGGCUCCCUUCCUGUCAACGUUCCCCAUUUGUUCCCUUACUCCCCCACACUUUCACCCUUCUGUGUCCUUCAGGCACAUCCUUAAAAAAGCUUAUAGUUUUUUCCCCCCUCAAAGUUCCUUCCCAUUCUUCAUUUUCAUUU